rnacentral:RNase_P_RNA from 1 species
UGAGUAAGCCAGGCGGUUGCGUAUCGGUGCGAGCCGGUAUGAGGAAAGUCCGCGCUGCACAGGGCAAGGAUAACAGAUAACGUCUGCCGGGGGCGACCCUAGGAAUAGUGCAACAGAGAAAUACCGCCGUGCGCCCCGGUGCAUGGUAAGGGUGGAAAGGCGAGGUAAGAGCUCACCACGCCCCGUGGUAACACGGGGGGUCUGUAAACUCUAUCCGCAGCAACAUCGACAGGGGCUACAGCUUGCCCGGCUGCCCCGAAGGAUGGCUAGAGGCGUGCGGCGACGCGCGUCCCAGAUAGAUGACCGCCAAAUACAGAACGCGGCUUACAGGCUUACUCACACC